UAGGGAAUCUUCCGCAAUGGACGCAAGUCUGACGGAGCAACGCCGCGUGAGUGAAGAAGGAUUUCGGUUCGUAAAACUCUGUUGUUAGAGAAGAACAGCGCAUAGAGUAACUGUUAUGCGUGUGACGGUAUCUAACCAGAAAGCCACGGCUAACUACGUGCCAGCAGCCGCGGUAAUACGUAGGUGGCAAGCGUUGUCCGGAUUUAUUGGGCGUAAAGCGAGCGCAGGCGGUCAAUUAAGUCUGAUGUGAAAGCCCCCGGCUCAACCGGGGAGGGUCAUUGGAAACUGGUUGACUUGAGUGCAGAAGAGGAGAGUGGAAUUCCAUGUGUAGCGGUGAAAUGCGUAGAUAUAUGGAGGAACACCAGUGGCGAAGGCGACUCUCUGGUCUGUAACUGACGCUGAGGUUCGAAAGCGUGGGCAGCAAACAGG
rnacentral:rRNA from 1 species